GUUGAACGCUGGCGGCAGGCCUAACACAUGCAAGUCGAACGGUAACAGGAAGCAGCUUGCUGCUUUGCUGACGAGUGGCGGACGGGUGAGUAAUGUCUGGGAAACUGCCUGAUGGAGGGGGAUAACUACUGGAAACGGUAGCUAAUACCGCAUAACGUCGCAAGACCAAAGAGGGGGACCUUCGGGCCUCUUGCCAUCGGAUGUGCCCAGAUGGGAUUAGCUAGUAGGUGGGGUAACGGCUCACCUAGGCGACGAUCCCUAGCUGGUCUGAGAGGAUGACCAGCCACACUGGAACUGAGACACGGUCCAGACUCCUACGGGAGGCAGCAGUGGGGAAUAUUGCACAAUGGGCGCAAGCCUGAUGCAGCCAUGCCGCGUGUAUGAAGAAGGCCUUCGGGUUGUAAAGUACUUUCAGCGGGGAGGAAGGGAGUAAAGUUAAUACCUUUGCUCAUUGACGUUACCCGCAGAAGAAGCACCGGCUAACUCCGUG
rnacentral:rRNA from 1 species